AGAAGAAGAGCAGAGAGAGUUUUAAAGGCACUUUGCACAUAAAUACUCAUGAAACAACAUUGUUAUUCUCACACAGCAGGUGUAAGCAGAAGAAACAGAGACAUAACAACUUAGCAAUGCAAAAUGAGCUCCAGGCAUCAGGUAAGCCAAAAAGAAGCUAUCAAAUUAUCUUCACCUUCAGCCCCUGCAAACUGGGAUCAAGAGUGGUGGAAGAUUUCCUGUUGACAAGUUCCCUCGCACAACCAGUGCUGCAAAAAGCUGUCAAUAAGAGCUUGCCCUGUGUUAUGAGUUGGGUUGAGGGAAGUGAUGGCAUGGUGGGAAUACGUCCUAUCAUGGAGAUAUGAAGAGUGCUCGGAAGAAGAGUAAUGAAAAGGAGUCAACCUCCUCAGGGCAUCCAUGCACUGCGUACUCCCACCAUUCACAUUGUCUGACCUACCUUCUCUUAACAUCUUCUCCCCCCAACCAGGACAAUUUGCUUCAUGGGUCUGGCCCCAGUUUAAAUUUCAUGGAAGUCAAAGUGGCAGAAGUAGAAAUGUUCCUCCCUCAUUAUGGACCCUGAAGUAUGCAUGAUUUAGUGGAGAGCUGUGGAGACCAAGAAAGUAAAAAAUCGUCUUUUUCUCCCAGAAGAAUCCAUAAACGCUACAAGUCUGGCACAUUACGAGUCUCUUGGUUGACUAAACUCAAAUUAACUAAACUUAUAUCACUAAUUUCUAGGUUCUGAAGAGGAAUUCUAGUUAUUCCUUGAGAAACAAUAUUUUUGACAUUUGAAAGAAUAUCUGCAUCUUUGAGAGAUGGUAUGCAUUAUUGUAGACACAGAUUGGGAAGACCUGUUUUGGAGAUGAUGAGGAAAGUCAAACCAAAUUGUGGUAAGUUCUGUAGGCACUCAUGAGAAGCUAAAGACAAUGGAGUGGUGCCAUAAAUUUUUAUUUUAUUCAAGGUGGGGGAGACGUUGCACUAUCUAGCACUCCUUCUGCUGAAAAUAUCAAGCGCAGAGAAAGUGAUGAGUUUGGUUUUUAGUAUCCACCCUAAAUUCAAUCAGCAAGAUUAAAAUCCACUUCGAUGUGCAUGCAAAGCAUGUAUCUCCUACAAACAGAAAAUGCAUUCUGAGUGCUCUUUCAUCUGCCACAGUAGACUGGAGUUACACUGCUCACCACUCAAGAAAUAAUUUAAGUUGAUGGUGGUGGGUUUGGCUUUUCUGCUUUGUUUUUAUGUUUGUUUGGUUUGGUUUUGGUUUGGUUUGUUUUUUUGUUGGUUUUGUUUGUUUGUUUGUUUGUGGGUUUUGUUGUUGUUGUUGUUUUGUUUUGUUUUAAUUAUUUUUUUUCUAUUUUUAUCUUAAAGCUGCUCUGUUAUUGUGAAACCCUAAUGGUCUUCACACAGCCAGAAUAUGUGAAGUUAUCCAUUAUGACAAUGUUAUUAAUUCACUGUAACAAUAAACCAUGACUAUCUCUAGUGCUUUCUGCAUGUUGAAAUUCAUAUAAUUAUAUUAGUUAAUAAUGGGGGAUUUCUAUUUGUUCUCCUUUGUUGUUUUGGGUAUUUUUUUCCAAAGAGCUCUUCAUGAAACUUUCAAGUGUCUCCUACCCAUGAUUCCUUGUAGGUGCUAGGUUGUCUUAUCACAUGUAGUGUAAGGAAUCCCUUUUUCCUUCUCCUUUUCUUUUUUUAAUGAGUGUAACUACUACUUGAAAACUCUAUUCACCUUCUUUUGAGAAAGCACAUAAAAAUACAAAAUCUCUUCAAAAUUAAGCAGUCCAUAAUAAUAAAAUAGAACAAGACAGUGUUUAUCUAUUGACACUAGCAUGAUACGUUCAGCUAAAUUGAAAUUUGGAUUAUAUAUCUUUCUGCGUGUAUUUAGAAAAACAUUUACCCAACCACAACCUUUACUUCAGUUUCUUGAAGGAUAGAUUUGCUUUAUUCUUACCUCAGUGAGUUCACAAACUAUCCAGCCUGGCCUGCAACAAAGGAAAAAGUUCCUUUGUAGUGAUGCUAUUAAAAUGAAUUUGAAAGAACUGGCCACACAAUUGCUACGAAUUUUCCUCCAUCAGUUUUAGGUAGUGCUCUAAGAUUUCUAUCUGAGAUUUCCUAGGGAAAAAGGUAGGUCCCAGGACCUCUACUUUUUUCCAGUUUACCUACAACACAUGCAACCUAACAUGGCUUAAGCUAUGGAAACAAAGUGUUGAUUCUCGUUAAGAACAAUGUCAAAGAUUGGAGCUAUGAUGCAGAUGAUCAAUUUGCUAAGAUGAUUUGGGUUUAGCAUAACACAAACAUGCAAACAUGCAAACAUUUGUCAUCUGGAAAACAUAACAGAGUUUCCUGUCUCCAAAGUCAGACAGGAAAGAAGGUAUUUUUUAUGACAUGUUAUCAGCCUGACUUAUCUCUUCGUUAAGACACUGGCAAAGAAAGAUUCACACUGGUGUCAAUUACAGAUUGACCUGUGCACUGCCUUCCACAAAAGGAAUAUGAGCACAAUUUCACUACCUAAGCCAGUAGUGGUAACUGAAAAAGGAUAUGCAUGUUCCUUCCAAUGUGAUAAUAUCAAUAUCCAAUAUCCAUAUGUAAAUACACCUGUCUGAGUCAUUCUUGUUAGUAAAAGCUUUUAAUUCUUUUGGUUGUUGGUUGGCUUUCUUCCCUGAGAAAUAUAUUCAAUUUUCAACAAAAAAAACCCUAUAGAGAGUAAUGUUUUCUACAAUCCCCCUGAAGAAUUUCCAUAAGAACCCCAAAAGUUUAGAAGAAAAUUACCUGAGUAAUUUUAUUUUGCCAAAUAUCUUUACUAGUUAGUGCUAGUCACUCCAGUAAGAGCAUAAUACAAUAUUGAUUAUUAGAAUUCCAUAAGCAGGGAAAAAUCUUACUGCAUUAUACUCUUCACUGUAAAUUUCAGGAAGAUUUAUACUUCUUUUCCUAUACUCUAUCCAAAAGAGUUGAUUAUGAAUAUACAACAGUAAAGACCCAGGAAUAAAAAUGUUUUAACAGCAGUUUAUACUCCAAUUUAACAAACAAAUAAUAUCUUCAACUACAUCAUGUAUUAACUAUGACACAGCUGCUUCUUUUUAUAAGGGUUUGAGAGAUAAUACAGUAAGAAUGCAUCCUGUCAGGCUGCUUUAUCCUCACUUCUUGGGUUUGGAGAAGGAUGGAAGCAGGGGGUUGCUUUGUGAUACAUGCCAUCUCCCUGAAUUUAAGAAGAGUUUUACAUCUCUUCCACACAUAUAAUCCUUUUGAUGAACCCUCUAGAAAUAAGACCCCAAAAGAAGGAAGGGGAGGAAGUGAGUACCUUUUUUGCACAGUGCAGACAUUUUUGGUAGGGAACAACCUCUGUCCCUCACUCAUCCUCUGUGUUGUGUGAUCUGCAGGCAGAGAUUCAUGUGUGAAAUAAGGUAAAGUGCAGAGAAAAGCAAUAUCUCUCAACUGUGUCAUAACUAAGAUGACUUAUUUCUUUAGAGUA